rnacentral:rRNA from 1 species
AGAGUUUGAUCCUGGCUCAGAACGAACGCUGGCGGCAUGGCUAAAACAUGCAAGUCGAACGCGAAAGCCAAAGCAGAUUUCGGUCUGUGGCGGCAAGUAGAGUGGCGAAAGGGCGAGUAAUACAUGGGUAACGUACCCUUGGCUCAGGGAUAGCUUCGGGAAACCGAAGGUAAUACCUGAUGAGACCACGGCGUCUAAAGGCGCAGCGGUCAAAGAUGGCCUCUGACAUAAGCUAUCGGCCUUGGAGCGGCCCAUGUCCUAUCAGCUAGUUGGCGAGGUAAUGGCUCACCAAGGCUACGACGGGUAGCGGGACUGAGAGGUUGGCCCGCCGCAUUGGGACUGAGACACUGCCCAGACUCCUACGGGAGGCUGCAGUAACGAAUAUUGGGCUAAUGCGCGAAAGCGUGACCCAGCAAUGCCGCGUGCGGGAGGAAGUCCUUCGGGAUGUAAACCGCUGUCAGGGGAUACCAAGCGACCCGGGUGAAUAAUCCGGGAAGUUGAGGAGCCCCAGAGGAAGCCACGGCUAACUUCGUGCCAGCAGCCGCGGUAAGACGAAGGUGGCGAGCGUUGUUCGGAAUCACUGGGCUUAAAGAGCACGUAGGCGGACCGUCAAGCGCUUUGUGAAAUCCCCCGGCUCAACCGGGGAGCUGCUUGGCGAACUGGCGGUCUUGAGGCAGGCAUGAGCGUGUGGAACUCUUGGUGGAGCGGUGGAAUGCGUAGAUAUCAAGAGGAACGCCGGAGGUGAAGACGAUGCGCUGGGCCUGACCUGACGCUGAGGUGCGAAAGCCAGGGGAGCGAACGGGAUUAGAUACCCCGGUAGUCCUGGCCCUAAACGAUGUCCACUAGGCCGACGGUUCUCUGACGGAUUAUCGGCCGGAACAAAAGCGUUAAGUGGACCGCCUGGGGAGUACGGUCGCAAGGCUAAAACUCAAAGGAAUUGACGGGGGCUCACACAAGCGGUGGAGCAUGUUGCUUAAUUCGAUACAACGCGAAGAACCUUAUCCUGGGCUUGACAUGUACGGAUGCCUCCCUGGAAACAGGACAGGUUGCCCUUCGGGGUGAAACGUACACAGGUGCUGCAUGGCUGUCGUCAGCUCGUGUCGUGAGAUGUUGGGUUAAGUACCGUAACGAGCGAAACCCUUGUCGUUAGUUGCCAGCGGGUCAUGCCGGGGACUCUAACGAGACUGCCGGUGUCAAACCGGAGGAAGGUGGGGAUGACGUCAAGUCCUCAUGGCCUUUAUGCCCAGGGCUGCAAACGUGCUACAAUGGCUGAGACAAACCGAAGCAAGACCGCGAGGUGGAGCAAAUCGGUAAAAAUCAGCCCCAGUUCGGAUUGGAGUCUGCAACUCGACUCCAUGAAGUUGGAAUCGCUAGUAAUCGCGUAUCAGCUACGACGCGGUGAAUAUGUUCCUGAGCCUUGUACACACCGCCCGUCAAGUCAUGGAAGCCGGGAGUACCCGAAGUCGCCUCAAUUCAGAGGUGCCGAAGGUAAGUUCGGUGACUGGGACUAAGUCGUAACAAGGUA